rnacentral:rRNA from 1 species
UACGAAGGGUGCAAGCGUUAGUCGGAAUUACUGGGCGUAAAGCGUGCGUAGGUGGUUUCUUAAGUCCGUUGUGAAAGCCCUGGGCUCAACCUGGGAACUGCAGUGGAUACUGAGAGGCUAGAGUGUGUCAGAGGAUGGUGGAAUUCCCGGUGUAGCGGUGAAAUGCGUAGAUAUCGCUUGGAACGCCAACGGUGAGAACAGGUUGCUGGGGGUGUGCUGACGCUGAGACACGAAAGCCAGGGGAGCGAACGGG